UGGAGUCAAUACACGAGCCUCAUCCUUCCGCUCCCGCUUCUCUUCAUUGGAAACACUAGAAUGUGAACCAUAAAACCAAAGCAUUUUAUCUUCCAUGUCUAAACACACAAGCCUUAUUUUUAUUUAUUUAUUUUCCUCAGAAUACGAUCCUAAAUAUCUUACAAAUUCACAAUUCUUGGUAUUUUAGGUGUGACAGACACUCACACACACAGCACAACCAAAGCAUUUUAUCUUCCAUGUCUAAACACUGAAAUGGCGUCCAUCUCUACGUGCAUCACUGUGACCCCCACUUGUAGGCUUGCUCGGCGGCUACUUUCCUUCACCUCGAAGCAGGCAAUAGCAUUCCUUUCCGUGCAGCAAAACCCGAUAAUUGGGGGAGUCACGAAAAGGGUAUGGGAUUCUAGGGUUUUGGUGGCGGGGCCGGGUGGCGCAGUGGAAACCGACAAGUUGCCUUCUGAUGUGAGAAAGCGAACGAUGGAUGUUGUGGAUGAGUGUGGAGGGAGAAUGACCAUUGGGGAUGUGGCUAGCAGGGCUGGCCUCAACUUGAAUCAGGCUCAGAAGGCUCUCCAAGCUCUUGCUGCUGACACAAAUGGCUUCUUAGAAGUUUCUGAGGAAGGUGACGUUCUGUAUGUAUUUCCAAAAGAUUAUCGAUCAAGGCUUGGUGCCAAGUCAUUUAGGAUUAAAGCUGAGCCAUUUUUUUGAAAAGCGAAGGCUGCAGGAGAAUACUUUAUAAGGGUUUCUUUUGGGACAACACUUAUUGCAUCCAUUGUUAUUGUUUACACUACAAUAAUUGCUCUUGUAACUAGCAGUAGAAGUGAAGAGGACAAUCGUGGAAGGCGUGGAGGUAGGUCAUAUGAUUCAGGAUUCACUUUCUACUUUAAUCCUGUUGAUUUAUUCUGGUACUGGGAUCCAUAUUAUUAUAGGAGGCAAAGGCCACAAGCUGAUGAUGACAAGAUGAACUUCAUUGAAUCGGUCUUCUCCUUUGUAUUCGGAGAUGGUGAUCCCAAUCAAGGAAUUGAAGAAGAGAGAUGGAAGUUGAUUGGGCAAUACAUAGCAUCUAAUGGUGGCGUUGUUGCAGCGGAAGAACUUGCUCCAUAUCUUGAUAUAGAUUCUACAGAGGGAAUUAAGGAUGAUGAAUCCUAUAUCUUACCUGUGCUCUUACGAUUUGAUGGUCAACCUGAGGUUGACGAGGAGGGAAAUAUUCUAUAUAGGUUUCCAUCUUUGCAGACGACAGCUUCUCAAAAGAGUAAGAGAAAAGAAUAUGUUGGAAGGAGAUGGGCAGAUUGGGUUGGAAUUGAGAAGUUUUUCAAGGAGAAAAAAUGGCAAUUCAGUAUAACUGGAACGUGAGAGAGAGCAAUGGUCAUUGGCCUGGGUGGCCUCAAUCUGUUUGGAGUUAUUAUUCUUGGAACCAUGUUGAAAGAUACGGCUGUUGCACCCAGUAGCUUCAUUAAAUUUGUAGCCGACAUAUUUCCUCUUCUUCAGAUUUAUGCUGGUUCCUUCUUUGCAAUUCCUCUUGUUCGGUGGUUUUUUAUUCGGAAAAAGAAUCCUGAUAUCGAAAAGAGAAACAAAGCUAGGCAGCAGUGUGCACAAGUUCUUGAAUUACCUGACACUUCACUAAGGCAGAAGCUUUUCAGUGCUCGGGACAUGGCCGAAAAGACAGUCAUAGGACAGGAUCAAAUUGUGUAUAGUACUGACAAGGACUUACUUGAGCAAGAGUAUGAAGCUCGCGAAUGGGAUAAAAAAUUUCGGGAGCUAGAGAGGUCUGAUUAAGGGUCAACUGUUAAUCUGUUAUACAGGGCGUUGAGCCUACAUUUUACCAUCCAUGUAUUGACAAUUUUAGCACAGCAUCUAGGCUGCCUUCUGUGAAAGCAUUGGAUUUAGCCCUGGUAUAUUGCAGCUUUUACUGGUUCAGUAUCAAUCUUAAUUCAUUUCUCUUAGAUCCAGUAAUUUAAGUGAUAAAAUUUGUAAUGUGAUCUAUAAAAGAGGAAUAGUGAAAGUUUCUAUAGGACAAUCAAUGUAAGUUAAAUUGGCAUUGCCUUUGUAUUUAUGUUUUAUACGUCAGAGUUUCGAAAUUUAUUAGCGCGUUGAAGUAGAACAUAAUUAACCUUUAUCA